GCGGGUAUGGCGGAAUGGCAGACGCGGCAGACUCAAAAUCUGCUUGUAGCAAUACAGUGUGGGUUCAAGUCCCACUACCCGCA
rnacentral:tRNA from 1 species